rnacentral:rRNA from 1 species
AACGCGAAGAACCUUACCUGGGCUUGACAUGUGAGUGACAGGUGUGGAAACACACCCUCCCUUCGGGGCACUUUCACAGGUGGUGCAUGGCUGUCGUCAGCUCGUGUCGUGAGAUGUUGGGUUAAGUCCCGCAACGAGCGCAACCCCCGUCGCAUGUUGCCAGCAUUCAGUUGGGGACUCAUGCGAGACUGCCGGUGACAAACCGGAGGAAGGUGGGGAUGACGUCAAGUCCUCAUGCCCCUUAUGUCCAGGGCUACACACGUGCUACAUUGGCGCAUACAGAGGGCUGCGAUACCGCGAGGUGGAGCGAAUCCCUUAAAGUGCGUCUCGGUUCGGAUUGCAGGCUGAAAUUCGCCUGCAUGAAGGCGGAGUUGCUAGUAAUCGCGGAUCAGCAUUGCCGCGGUGAAUACGUUCCCGGGCCUUGUACACACCGCUGUA